AUGUUGCGAGAGCAGCAGUAUCAGAGGCGCUUGGAGAGAGAGCACAUGGAAAGACAGAGGGUGUUAAAACACCGCUCGAUCGCCUCCUGCUCCAUCCUGGAGGCGGGAUUAGAGUGCAAUGAUGGCAGUUUAGAGAUGAUCCUGGAAGCUUCUGUGACAUCACCGAGGAGGCGGAGCCAGUGGUCAACACUUGGCCGCCAGACUCUGCAACGCCCAUCUUUAUUCAGCUUGACAGAAACAACAGCAGAAAAAACAAACCUGAUGAAAUGUGAGGUGGAAAAAUGCACUGAUGUUCCUGACAGUGGCGCUGCAGUGGAGAUUCGGACAGAGACCCCGCCCAACUCUAAGCUGACCGAAGCGAAGCGCCUUGCCCACUCUGCCAUCCAGCCCCAGAAUCAGACACUUGGUUCAGGACUCCGCCCACAGGUGGGCGAAAAACACACGCUAGUCUCCCCCCUUCAGUCCUACAGCAGCUUAGCCCCACCCUGUGCAGAGGAAGAGAGGAAAGGGAGGAAACCAGCAGUAAAAGGAAAGUCAAAGGAGAUGCAACAAGAAGUACAGAAUUUGGCAUCAUCUGAGGUGGGAGAAAAGAAGACAGGAAAUCUCAAAGAGCGAACAAUGAAGGACAUGAAACCUGCCAAUCAGAGCCAGAACAGGACACGCAUUGCCACGCCCCCUCUUAGAGCAUCCCACCUACCAUUGCUCCAGACUGGCUUGCGACCUCUCCCAUCUGGCCAAUCUGUAACUGCAGUUGGGACUUCAAAGGAGGAGGGAUCAGUUCGAAAAACGCAAAGAGCUAAAAUUCCACAGUCACUGAAACGACUGCUGGACAGGACAUCAUCCAGCAAAAAAGAGCGAGAGAAGAAAGAGGGAGAAAAAGAGGUGAAAGAGAAAACAAAGACUGAGACCAACGACAAACAGCGUGAGAGGAGAGAGAGAGAGAAGGAGAAGAAUAAGAGAGAGCAAGAGAAGCAGCAGGAAAAAGAGAGACAGAAGAGAGAGAAAGAAAUAAAGGAGAGAGAGAAGAAAAGAGUAAAGUCAGAGAAGGAAAGAGAGAAAACAAAGGUGUGUGAUGUGAAGGAGGGCAGAGUAGAGCGAUCUGCAGGGCCAGGGUCAUCGCUAGCUCUCACUGUGCCUAGGCCUCUGUCCAGGCUAUGUCCGUCUGCGACCCCGUUAGCAUUAGCACUGCACUCUGUGUUAAAACGAGACAGAAAUGGACACACAGUGGCCAGCAGCUCACGCAUACCAUCAACAACCAGCAGAGGAACACAAAGCCAGACACGUUGAAACACACACACAGACAGCUGUAUUGGUUUUAUUGCUAUUCUGGUGAUCCAGUGUUAGCAUAGGCAGUGAUGCUGUGUAGAUUUGGCACAUAAAGGCCUCUGGAGGUAGUUUAUGUGGAGCCUGGCCUCUUACUGUUUCUCCUCUUCUGCCAAAAAAUAUAAUCUCACCAAAAACACUAGAGGGAGCUCCAGAGUACCUCCUUAUAUAAAAGGAGUUCAACGGUCACUUUUUUUGCCUUUGAGUCUUUAGCAAUGCAGCAAAAAAGAAAAAACACAUCUAAGUUGUCCCUUAAGUUUUUUUUUAUAAAUUUUUAAUUAUAAUGUAAACAACAGUAUGAAAAGUUACUAUUUAAGCGAAGAAUAUAUAAAUAUAUAAAUGAUUUCCAUUCAAAAAUGCAGCUGUGUCAGAAGAUCAUGAUUAUUUUUAAUUCUGAUAGUUCCCGUUCACUGUAUAGUUAUAUCUUUAUUAUAAUAUAGUAAAAUAAUAUGCUUUUAAAAUUAGAAUAUUUUAAUGUGCUGAGUAACUAAGUUUAACAGAGCUUUAACAAAGAAAAUAAAUGCUAAUGUAGAUGCA
rnacentral:lncRNA from 1 species